UCUUCUCUCACCUUCUCACCGUUUCUCUCUCUCUCUCUCUCUCUUCUAUAUUGAUUCUUGGCUGAAAUCCCCAAUUCAUAUUAUCAGCAUAAUCGGGGCUGCGUGGAUGCCUUAGCAAAGGGUAUUAAUGAUCAGCUCAUAUCAUUAGAAAUAUUGGGAAGUCAGAUUUAUAGUGGUGGUGGUCUCCAGCAGCAGUCGCCGGCGGUGGUGGCUGGAAUCCGACAAAGAAGACGAGCUGUCCAGAAUUCAAAUUUCAGAGUUUUGGCUUUUCAGUAAAUCAAUUAAACGGAGGUCUUAAAGAUGGAGUAUCGAUGAUCCGAAGCUCGCUCGUUGGAACGAGGGAAAGCAAAAUCUGCUGCCACGCUUGUUUUCGGAGCCGAAAUCGAAGUGUUUCGAAUGCGAAUUUCGAAUCAGUUCCUUCAGGAAACUCGUAGAGGACAUCGUAAACUAUAAGUAAGUGUUCAGUUGUAUCGAAUUAGAGUAUUUAAUAUACGUGUUUUAGAGGUCGGAAUCCGGUGACAGUAAUCUGCCGGAAACAGGGCAGUUUUGAGUAUCUUCUUGCGGGACUGUUUUUGAUAUGUUGGGAUCAUAAUUUGGGCUCUGUGCCUUCAUGAAACUUGUAGAUUAAGUUGUAAGGUUUCAUUUGAUGUAUUAUUUAGGCAAUUUGGAUAACUUUACAAAUAGUUAUGAAUUUUACAAAACUGUACCAGAAAACAGAAUUUAUCCGAAAUUCUGGCAGUUUUCUGUAGUCA